rnacentral:rRNA from 1 species
UACGUAGGGGGCAAGCGUUGUCCGGAAUCAUUGGGCGUAAAGCGAGCGUAGGCGGCCCGAUAAGUCUGCUGUAAAAGUCAACGGCUCAACCCGUUGAAAGCCCGGUGGAUACUGUCGGGCUAGAGUUCGGAAGAGGCAAGUGGAAUUCCUGGUGUAGCGGUGGAAUGCGCAGAUAUCAGGAGGAACACCUAUAGCGAAGGCAGCUUGCUGGACGAACUGACGCUAGGCUCG